CACGGGGGGAGCAAGCGUUGUUCGGAAUCACUGGGCGUAAAGAGCGUGUAGGCGGUCCGGUAAGUCCGCUGUGAAAGUCGGGGGCUCAACCCUCGAAUGCCGGUGGAUACUGUCGGGCUAGAGUGCGGAAGAGGCGAGUGGAAUUCCUGGUGUAGCGGUGAAAUGCGCAGAUAUCAGGAGGAACACCUAUUGCGAAGGCAGCUCGCUGGGACGUUACUGACGCUGAGACGCGAAAGCGUGGGGAGCAAACAGG
rnacentral:rRNA from 1 species